UGGGGAAUAUUGCACAAUGGGCGAAAGCCUGAUGCAGCGACGCCGCGUGAGGGAUGACGGCCUUCGGGUUGUAAACCUCUUUCAGUAGGGACGAAGCGCAAGUGACGGUACCUGCAGAAGAAGCACCGGCUAACUACGUGCCAGCAGCCGCGGUAAUACGUAGGGUGCGAGCGUUGUCCGGAAUUACUGGGCGUAAAGAGCUCGUAGGCGGUUUGUCACGUCGUCUGUGAAAUCCUAGGGCUUAACCCUGGACGUGCAGGCGAUACGGGCUGACUAGAGUACUACAGGGGAGACUGGAAUUUCUGGUGUAGCGGUGGAAUGCACAGAUAUCAGGAAGAACACCGAUGGCGAAGGCAGGUCUCUGGGUAGUAACUGACGCUGAGGAGCGAAAGCAUGGGUAGCGAACAGG
rnacentral:rRNA from 1 species